GCUUGUCUCAAAGAUUAAGCCAUGCAUGUCUAAGUAUAAAUAGUAUACAGUGAAACUGCGAAUGGCUCAUUAAAACAGUUAUAGUUUAUUUGAUAAUUGAACGCUACAUGGAUAACCGUGGUAAUUCUAGAGCUAAUACAUGCUACAAAACCAAACUUUUUGAAUGGUUGUAUUUAUUAGAUACCAAACCAAUAUUCCGCAAGGUCUAUUGUGAUGAUUCAUAAUAACUGAUCGAAGCGAACGAAGUUCGCUAAAUCAUUCAAGUUUCUGCCCUAUCAGCUUUCGAUGGUAGUGUAUUGGACUACCAUGGCAGUCACGGGUAACGGGGAAUUAGGGUUCGAUUCCGGAGAGGGAGCCUGAGAAACGGCUACCACUUCUAAGGAAGGCAGCAGG
rnacentral:rRNA from 1 species